GGAUGUGUAGGUAAUCUGGCUGCAACAUCUGUCACCCUACUAAUUGCCAGGGUUGAUUCAGCUGAUCUGGCUGGCUAGAUGGUGUCCCCUUCCUCCCUCACCACUCUAUGUGCAUCCUCCUGAAGCUGCACCCCAGGUGUAAGAGGAAAAGCACCCCUGAUAGAGGAGGACCAUUUUCUCAUUCAAGGGUAUAUGAGUAGCUGUCUCAAAACAAGCUCUCAAAAUAAACCUUUCCUCCUUUAAACUCAGGUGUUGUGUUCCAGC
ensembl:misc_RNA 7SK 7SK RNA